UGAGGAAUAUUGCGCAAUGGGGGCAACUCUGACGCAGCAACGCCGCGUGAGUGAGGAAGGUUUUCGGACCGUAAAGCUCUGUCGAGCGGGAAGAAAUGCAUGGUGGCUAAUAUCCAUCAUGCUUGACGGUACCGCUAAAGGAAGCACCGGCUAACUCCGUGCCAGCAGCCGCGGUAAUACGGGGGGUGCGAGCGUUGUUCGGAAUUAUUGGGCGUAAAGAGCGUGUAGGCGGCCGAAUAAGUCAGAUGUGAAAUCCCUGGGCUUAACACAGGACGUGCAUUUGAAACUGUUAGGAUAGAGUAGGGGAGAGGAAAGUGGAAUUCCUGGUGUAGAGGUGAAAUUCGUAGAUAUCAGGAGGAACACCGGUGGCGAAGGCGACUUUCUGGCCCUAUACUGACGCUGAGACGCGAGAGCGUGGGUAGCAAACAG
rnacentral:rRNA from 1 species